UGCAAUUUAUGAUGAGAUUAGAGUAAAGCUCAUUGAGACCUCUAAUCUCUGAUGAUUUCUUGUA
rfam:Clunio marinus genome assembly, contig: CLTMA_superscaffold_24